GUUGGUUUUAAUUAUUGAUUCAAGGGAAGAGGAUUGAGACAAAAACAACACAAGCGAUACCUUGCUGUGUUAGCAUAAAGCAGAUGACUGUACGACUACAAUUUUCUAGCUCAUAAUAUUGAAAAUGCUUCCAACUCUUUUAAUAAUAGUAACAUUACUCUAUUCUUAUUAUACAUAUUUUGAAAACAAUCCUCUUAAAAAAGG
rnacentral:lncRNA from 1 species